UACAAACCCCCUUCCUCCUUCGUAGAAUGGAAUUGCAACCGCAAUCAAUGAACGUUUUGUAUACCAGAGCGCAGGGAGUGUGGAAUUAUGGCACUUCUCGGUCCGAAGGCCAUGGCGAAGCGGCCACAGUGAUCGGCGAGUUUCGAGACUCGCUUCGCUUUGCGGCUGUGGCGGUAAUCAAGGUAUUAGCUGUGGUAGAUUUAAAUGGCGACGAUUUUUCAAUUGUGAUUGCUCCUCUCCGUUCUCGUUUAUUGUGGAAACAUGGAGACGGAGGUGGAGAAACCAUCAUCUCCUCAUACGUCUGAUGUUCCAAGUUCAUGGCUGGAGUAUUUUCCGGGGGAGGAAUUCCGGCUCGAUGAUAGGAGAGCAAUGCUUAUAAAGAGUUUGCUAGAUUUUUUCCAGACGAGUGCUGCCAAGCAGAUCCUGUCGCAGGUGAUACUAGAGACUCACACGUACUGUUUGCCAUUGGACUUUCAAGUACUUCAAAAAUGUUGCGCAAAUGAGGAACUAUUUGCAGCCCUUGAAAUGGCCCCUCAUGAAGCACUUUCAUGCUUAGGGGCUGCCGUUUACGAGGUGUUAUUUUGCUUAGGCAAGCAGGUGGCCAGCCCUGGGAAAAUCAUCGUUAGACUGCAUAAUCACCCGGAGUCUUUACUUGCACUGAAACUUUUGAAAGCAUCAUGGAUAGGAAGGCUUAUAUCAGUGCGAGGAACUGUGGUGAGGAUGAGCGUGGUGAAGCCGCUUGUUACUUGUAUGGACUUCACUUGUCCCAAGUGUAAACGGGUUAUUUCCCGUCAAUUUAAAGAUGGAAGGUUUUCGCCGCCCACUGUCUGUGGUGGCAGUUGUCGGAGCAAGACUUUCACUCCUGAAAGAUCCACAGCAAAAUGCAUCGACUUUCAAAAAAUUAGAAUCCAAGAAAUUGUAAGCGAAGAAGCUUAUGAGGAAGGUCGUUUACCAAGAAACGUAGAGUGUGAGUUGACAGAGGACCUGGUGGAUAUAUGUGUCCCUGGAGAUGUUGUCACCAUUUGUGGCAUUGUAAACUUCAUCAACACCAAUGUAGAUGUCGGAGGUGGCGGCAAGAAAGGUAAACAAUGUCUAUAUCAUCUCUACCUAGAAGCGGUCUCUGUUACAAAUACAAGGAGCCAACGGUCGGAAGAUGGAGAAUCCGAGGGUGAUUUGAGGAUGGCAUCUUCUUCGCACCAACUGAGUUUUACUUCUCAGGACUAUGAGGCCAUCGCAAAUUUCAUAGAGGGAGCCGGUUCUGAUGCUUUCCGCCAGAUUCUGCAUUCCAUCUGUCCAUCUAUAUUUGGCCAUGAAUUGGUGAAAGCUGGUAUUGCUCUCGCUUUAUUUGGGGGUGUUCAAAAACAUGUGAUGGAUAAGAACAAGGUGCCUGUCCGAGGGACUAUACACCUUAUUAUUGUCGGUGAUCCUGGGCUCGGAAAGAGUCAGCUGCUGCAAGCCGCUUCUUCGGUCGCCCCACGCGGCUUAUAUGUCUGCGGAAAUACAACCACCACAGCUGGUCUCACUGUAGCAGUAGUCAAGGAUGCUCUAAGUGGUGAUUGGGUAUUCGAAGCAGGGGCAAUGCUUCUUGGAGAUCAAGGUAUCUGCUGCAUUGACGAGUUCGACAAAAUGGCUUCUGAGCAUCAGGCCCUACUUGAAGCUAUGGAACAACAAAGUGUAUCGGUUGCAAAGGCUGGACUUGUUGCCAGCUUGGCAGCACGUACAUCAGUCCUUGCUGCUGCAAAUCCAGUUGGUGGUCAUUACAAUCGCUCAAAAACAGUGAAUGAAAACCUGAAGAUGAGUGCAGCUAUCCUCUCACGUUUUGACCUUCUAUUCAUAUUACUUGACAAACCUGACGAGGACAUGGAUCAACGGUUGUCUGAGCAUAUCAUGGCGCUUCAUGGAGGAGCGAAGAGUCGCCAAAAAGGUGCUAAAAAAUCAGUGAGACAGCAUGCUCAAGGAAGUUUGCAACAAGUGUUAGAGGGAGACUCUACUCUUUUAAAGAGAUUGAAGUUGGAUUCAGUGAAGGACAGGGACUUGAAGCCUUUGCCUGUUGAGUUUCUUAGGAAGUACAUUGCAUAUGCACGUCAAUAUGUAAAUCCAAGGAUGACGAAGGAAGCUGCUGAUGUGUUGCAGCACUUUUAUCUUCAGCUUAGAAAACAUAGCAAUGCGGAUGGCAGCCCAAUUACUGCUAGACAGCUCGAAAGCUUAGUGCGCCUUGUUGAAGCUAGAGCUCGACUGGAGCUUCGCGAAGAAAUCUCUAAGCAGGACGCCAAGGAUGUGGUAGAGAUUAUGAAAGAGUCAUUGUUUGAUAAAUUAGUAGAUGAGCACGGUCAAGUGGAUCUUGCCCGUAGUGGAGGCAUGAGUCAACAGAAAGAGGGCAAGCGAUUUUUGAGCUUUCUUCAGCGCAAGGCUGCAGCGGAGGAGAGGAAUUUGUUCUCGAUAGCAGAGCUGUUCAGUAUUGCGGAUCAAAUCUGCCUCCAAGUGCCUGAUGUGGAUGUCCUUAUCGACAAGCUAAAUGUUGCAGGAUAUUUGCUGAAAAAAGGGCAUCGCCAAUACCAGGUUCAAUCUUCCCAAUCGAAAUACUGAAUUGAAGCCUUUUUGAGAAACAUGUCCACUAAGAACCAUUGAAGAGGUGGUGAGCUUGAUACAAAAAAUUGGGAUAAACUAUGUCCGAUUACAUUACCGCAAACGGGAACGUUAGUGGAAGCAGACAACAUUGGUUUAGAUCAACUGCUUGUUGGAACACUUCAGCCGCAGACGUCUAGGCUCCCAGGCAUGACUUGCUUCUUGAAAUUGUAUAGAUUGCCUCAACAGCUCCUCUCAUGAAAGGAGCCUGUUGUGAUCUCGACAUAGACAUGCCCAGGACUCGGACGUUAACAUUAGGCCUUUUUCCACCUGGCUCCGUGAAACUUUGGCAAUUCUGAAAUAAAUUUAUCACCAUGCAUGAUACGGCAGGUGCUUUGGUGCCCCCGAGUCUAAAUUUGCGAUUU